CCGGAGACGCGGAGUUGAGUCAGCCCCCGCCCGCUGUAACAAAACGCAGACAUCCGGGUGAGCGUGGGUGUCUGCAUUUUGUUACGCAAGGGCGAAGGGGCUGUACCUUCUGAAGCACGAUAUUUCUAUACACAAAUUGAUUUUUUGUAUUGAAAAAUCAAUCUGGGUUCGCCAUGUUUCUAACGAUAUAAAACUUUUAAGAUAUUGGUUUCGUAUGUUUUCCAUGAAACACUGAUUUCAUGAGAAAUGUCAACAUGACAACGACAGCUAGAACAAUAUUUUACCACCCACCAGACAGAAAAUAAAAAAAUAUUAAUAAUUAAUUAUUGAGUAAUUAUAGCUCAUUAAUUCUUUCGGGUGCCAUCUGCGCGUGUCAUGCGCAGUCGAUAUGUAUAAAUAAAAAUAUUAAAUACUGCCAUUUUUAAG